GGCUUCGUGGCCUAAUGGCUAGGGCGCUAGAUUUCGGUUCUACAACAGAUUCUCUAGAGAUUGUCGGUUCGAGUCCGGCCGAGGUCG